rnacentral:rRNA from 1 species
UACGGAGGGUGCAAGCGUUAUCCGGAAUCAUUGGGUUUAAAGGGUCCGCAGGCGGUUCUAUAAGUCAGUGGUGAAAUCUCUCGGCUCAACCGAGAAACUGCCAUUGAUACUGUAGGACUUGAAUUCGGUCGAAGUGGGCGGAAUAUGACAUGUAGCGGUGAAAUGCUUAGAUAUGUCAUAGAACACCGAUAGCGAAGGCAGGUCUCUGGGCAUUAACUGACGCUGAGGAGCGAAAGCAUGGGGAGCGAACAGG